ACGCUCGACACCUACGGGAGGCAGCAGUGGGGAAUAUUGGGCAAUGGAGGCAACUCUGACCCAGCAACGCCGCGUGAAUGAUGAAGGUCUUCGGAUUGUAAAGUUCUGUGACGGGGGACAACACAAUGACGGUACCCCGAUAGCAAGCCACGGCUAACUACGUGCCAGAAGCCGCGGUAAUCUGAGCGGGCUGGCAAGGC
rnacentral:rRNA from 1 species